rnacentral:rRNA from 1 species
GACGAACGCUGGCGGCGUGCUUCAUAUAUGCAAGUCGAGCGGGGUCCAUCCAGUGGCAACACUGGUGAAGACCUAGCGGCGAACGGGUGAGUAACACGUGAGGAACCUGCCCCAGAGACCGGGAUAACCCUCCGAAAGGAGAGCUAAUACCGGAUGCCCCCACCGGAUCGCAUGGUCUGGUGAGGAAAUGGAUUCCGCUCUGGGAGGGCCUCGCGGCCUAUCAGCUUGUUGGUGAGGUAACGGCUCACCAAGGCGUCGACGGGUAGCUGGUCUGAGAGGACGGUAAGCCACACUGGGACUGAGACACGGCCCAGACUCCUACGGGAGGCAGCAGUAGGGAAUCUUGCGCAAUGGGCGAAAGCCUGACGCAGCAACGCCGCGUGGGGGAUGAAGGCUCUCGGGUUGUAAACCCCUUUCAGCAGGGACGAUUAUGACGGUACCUGCAGAAGAAGGACCGGCCAACUACGUGCCAGCAGCCGCGGUAA